UACGUAGGGGGGCAAGCGUUUGUCCGGAAUCAUUGGGCGUAAAGCGCGCGUAGGCGGCCCGGUAAGUCCGUUGUAAAAGUCAAAGGCUCAACCUUUGAAAGCCGAUGGAUACUGCCGGGCUAGAAUCCGAAAGAGGCGAGUGGAAUUCCUGGUGUAGCGGUGGAAUGCGCAGAUAUCAGGAGGAACACCAACAGCGAAGGCAGCUCGCUGGGACGGUAUUGACGCUGAGGCGCGAAAGCGUGGGGAGCAAACAGG
rnacentral:rRNA from 1 species